rnacentral:RNase_P_RNA from 1 species
UGAGCAGGCCAGGCGAUCGCGGGCGGCUUUUCCCACAUGGAAAGCUGUCCGAGGAAAGUCCGAGCUCCACAGAGCACGGUGCUGGGUAACACCCAGGCGGGGCGACCCGAUGGAAAGUGCCACAGAGACAUACCGCCGUAACGGUAAGGGUGAAAAGGUGAGGUAAGAGCUCACCAGCGGUCCGGGUGACCGGGCCGGCUAGGCAAACCCCACCGGGAGCAAGGCCAAACAGGGGGCGUGGCGCGGGAGGAGACACCCUCCCGCGCUGGGGGCUGCUCGUCCCAAGCCCUCGGGUAGGCUGCUGGAGGCGGCGGGCAACCGUCGUCCUAGAUAGAUGAUCGCCGCCCUCGACUGGCUCGCAGCCAGGAGGGAACAGAACUCGGCUUAUCGGCUUGCUUAAGCA